CAAAAUUCUGAAUAGAAAUUUCAGGAUGUCACAGUUUCCACCGUUGCCUCAUGCGUUUAGGUAAAAAGAAAAUCGCGACGAAGAUGAAGAUCGAAUCGCGUUCGAAAGAGGAAACAAAGACGUAUCAGGAAUGGUUUAAUUUGGCAGAUUCAGAUGGAGAUGGUCGAAUCUCUGGGAAUGACACCACAAAGUUCUUCGCUCUCUCCAACUUGUCGCGCUCUCAACUGAAGCGACUCUGGGCUCUCGCCGAUGUCAAAAGACAAGGGUUUUUGGGCUUCACGGAGUUUGUUACUGCAAUGCAGUUGACAAGGAAAAUAUUAAACCUCCCGUAUUGGAAGGACUCGAUGCUUUAGUAGCACAAAUGAGUUUAACAAUUAAUGCCCCGCCGGAGGGACUCCUCAGCCUCAAGUGUUCCCAACUAACCGGUGGUUUGGUUCAAAAUCUUAAAGAAAGUGAAUCCUGUUGUUUAUUCUCAAAUCUAGAGUCUGUCUUGGUUUUCAUGAAAUUCAAAUUUCCAAGCUACAUGAUUCCAUGCUGUGCAUUCCAUUUUGUUCAUUUAGUUUUUGCCUUGUUGGUGUUGUAUGUUCAUUAUUUUGGAGAUGAAUUGAUAAUUUCUCUUUAUCUGAACAUCUGAUUCUUAUGUGAUUGAGACUUGAGACUUUGAGAGAUCCUUGAAGCUUAUCUGCCAAUAAUGCUCACUUGAAUGCGUGAUUAAGCGUUUAAGCAAAAUAAUUGACAUACGGGGUUGUGGGGUGCAAAGGUGCAAUUACACUUCAAUAUUCACAUGAUCGAUUUUAUGGUACAAAGGUGCUUGGUGAAUGUCGUCAAUUCUGUUCACAUUUUUAUUGGGAAAAAUGCAGUACUUUUUCUCACUUGUGUUGAUUAUUACUUGAGAUAGAUGUAUGAUGUGUCUCCAUUGUUGGUAAGUAGCAUUUGCACCCAAUGUAUAAAUAAAAGUACUAAAUUUUGUUAACUGUGUUUCUGAGAGCAUGGUACUAGUUCUCAUUAACAUUGUAGUAAUUUCUUCAUUCAUAAAAUUGAUGACUGAUUGAUUCAUGAUCUUAACUUUGUAGGAGCACAUGUUGGACCAGAGCCUACCACUGAUAGAUUUCUUGUUGUCAUGUCUGGACCUGAUCAAAGAAGCAUUCCUGGAAAUACUAUUGUUGUUGAUGCUCACAUGCCUUUUGGUGGCCUGGCAACAUUUGGAGGUUCAUUUUUAUCUAAGUUCCAAUGCUCUCAAAUGCCACACCCUUUAUAUCAUCUUAUGGAACUGAAAGCUCUCAAGCCUCUCCUAUCCAUACACCAUAUAGUGAAUGAGAUUAGUCCUCUGAAUUUCUUCAAAGAUAAUAGACAUGCCAGAAGACUCUUCUUUCUUCACUUAUGUUAGUUUCAGGGCUAGUGUAUUAGUUGCAGUCAUUGAAACUCUACAAGGAUACGUUAACGUCUAUGAAGGCUUAAGUUCAUUUCCUGAAAUAUUCCUACCAAUUUUGAAAUUAUUAAAUGAAAUAGCAGAACAGAAAAAUAUGUCAAAUGCAUUAUGAGAUAAAAUUAAAGAUGUGGCUGAGCUCAUUAAGUUGAAAGUGGACAAGCAUCACACUUUAAGGCGACCACUUCAAAUGCGGAAACAAAAGCCAGUACCAAUCAAAUUACUGAAUCCCAAGUUUGAGAAAAUCAGUGCAGGCCUGGGGGAAGUCAUGCAUUACCUGAAGGCAUAAUCUUCGACACUUCUGAUUUGGAAAUGCGGAAUUUGUGGGAUCUUUCUAUGACUAAGACAAUAGAGGAGAAAAUUUGCAAUUGCUUACAUAUUCUGAUUUUGUGAGCCUAAGCCGCAUUAACCUCUACAAUUUCUACACUAUAUAGAUAUUUUUAAUAAGGAAAAUGCAUCAACCAAUUUGUUUGCAAUGGCAGUUGGGAUAAAGCAAAAGGAUCUUGUGAACAAAAUGGUCAAAAAGGUUAGAAAAUAAUAUUGCGGAUCCGCUUACAAAAGGAUUGACGCGUCAACAAGUACUUGAGCCGUUGAGGGGAAUGGGACUAGAGCCCAUUAUUUAGUUACAACAAUGGACAACCAUCUCCGUGUGAUUGGUGAUCCCAUGAAUGGAGUUCAACGGGUAACAACGAAAUUGUUUGUUGACUAAAGUACACCAAAAUAAAAUUUUGUGGAGUUGUUCCGUUUCUCAUUCCUAUGACGAGGUGUAUUGUAAAUUGUGGCAAUAUUAAGGUUGAAGUGUUUAUAUAUGUGUAUUUUUUAUAAAAAAAAUAUCUCUUAAUGAAUUCGAUGACAAUUAUUGUAGGGGUGGAAGUCACAAACCACUUAUUGAGGAUUCACCUAGUGAAUAUGGUGGUGGGAUUGCCACUAUGAGAUAUGAGCUAAUCUCUAAGUGAUACUCACGAAACAAGAUACAUGCACAUGGUCGUGUAUGUUGGACAA